UGUGCUAAAACCAAAAUUAAGCACCAUUUCCAUGAUCCACAUUAUAUACCCACAAUUUUUAACUUCUUUAGUUACACACAUAAAUAUAUGUAUGCAAGAAUUUUUGUGUAUACACACUCAUUAAUUAUUUGUGUAUACCUGUCGUGCUUGAACCCAUUCGCACCACAAAGCGUUGUCGGCGAGUCAGGUUGUUUGGGAAUGUAGCCCUAAUCGGGCAGUAAAUUCAAUCCAAGGCGAAAUAUGGGUAAGAGACUAAUAGCAAACAAGUAUCGUGAGGAAAAAAUGAAAAAGAUUUUGAAAAAAAAGUCAAAGAGUGUUUGAAAUUGUCGAAAAGAAAGUGGAUGGGCCGACGGUGCGCCUUGGUCUGAUAUGGAAUGACAACAAGCCAGUCUGCCGAUCGACUAGGGCGUGGACCAAUGCAAUUUAAAGCGAUGACCCAAGCUCGGGCUGUUGUCAUGCCCAUAGAGAUAUCAUUGCCUUGAUCAUGGAAUGCAACAUGUGUCGUCUUGGCAUGCCUCGACACCUGCAUGCUCAUGGUGUCAACCCGUAGGCCCCCUAUUCGGCCUAUUUUGAAACACAG
rnacentral:ncRNA from 1 species